rnacentral:rRNA from 1 species
GGGGGCAACCCUGGCGGCGAGCGGCGAACGGGUGAGUAAUACAUCGGAACGUACCCAGGAGUGGGGGAUAACACAUCGAAAGAUGUGCUAAUACCGCAUACGCCCUGAGGGGGAAAGCGGGGGACCGCAAGGCCUCGCGCUGUUGGAGCGGCCGAUGUCGGAUUAGCUAGUUGGUGGGGUAAGGGCCUACCAAGGCGACGAUCCGUAGCUGGUCUGAGAGGAUGAUCAGCCACACUGGGACUGAGACACGGCCCAGACUCCUACGGGAGGCAGCAGUGGGGAAUUUUGGACAAUGGGGGCAACCCUGAUCCAGCCAUUCCGCGUGAGUGAAGAAGGCCUUCGGGUUGUAAAGCUCUUUUGGCAGGAACGAAACGGCGGGCUCUAACAUAGCCUGUCAAUGACGGUACCUGAAGAAGAAGCACCGGCUAACUACGUGCCAGCAGCCGCGGUAAUACGUAGGGUGCGAGCGUUAAUCGGAAUUACUGGGCGUAAAGCGUGCGCAGGCGGUUUUGUAAGACAGCUGUGAAAUCCCCGGGCUUAACCUGGGAACUGCGGUUGUGACUGCAAGACUAGAGUGCGGCAGAGGGGGGUGGAAUUCCACGUGUAGCAGUGAAAUGCGUAGAGAUGUGGAGGAACACCGAUGGCGAAGGCAGCCCCCUGGGUUGACACUGACGCUCAUGCACGAAAGCGUGGGUAGCAAACAGGAUUAGAUACCCUGGUAGUCCACGCCCUAAACGAUGCCAACUAGGUGUUGGGGAAGGAGACUUCCUUAGUACCGUAGCUAACGCGUGAAGUUGGCCGCCUGGGGAGUACGGUCGCAAGAUUAAAACUCAAAGGAAUUGACGGGGACCCGCACAAGCGGUGGAUGGAUGUGGAUUAAUUCGAUGC